AGAAAUGGAUGUCUCAGCAUAUGAAGUGAAAAUAUUAAUUCUGAUCUGGUGUGCAAGCAAAGUAAUCAUCACUAGCUGCUGUUACAAUGGUUUGUGAUGCCUUUAUAAAGCAGCACAAGAAGCACCCAACUCAGAAGAGCUUUCUGUUGACACCCAAGCUUCACUGAAUACUCAGAAGACUCUCUUCCUCUGCUUGUAACUAUGGAAAUGAAGCUGUGGGCCUCUCUUCUCCUUGCUGGUUUUGCCUUUAUACUGGUGAACGCAGAAUCCCAAGCUGAUUGCAAACUCCGGAAUACCGAACAGGGAACAGCAAGUCAUAGACACCAUACAUCUGCCAGCCAUGCCAAGUAUGGUAGUGCCAGCCAUGCCCAGCAUCCCCAGCAUGGGCAUGCCAGCAAUGCCAAGCAUGCAGGUGCCAGCCAUGCCCAGCAUGAAGGUGCCAAUCCCUCCAGACGCAUCUUAGGAGGAUUACUUGGCUAACAUCUAACAUGCAAUGUUAUUGUGAUUUUUAAAGGGUUC